CCAAGGAGUGCAACAUGCGUGCGAGUCUGUGGGUGCAGAGACCCGUCGGCGCAAUGAGAGUGAAGGCGGAUGUCCGCCGAGGCAGGAGCCGUCCCCUUCGGGCGGCCCACUGUUGACCGAUCCCGUUCCACGCUGUGGUGGGAUUCGAGUGAGAGCGUGCCUGUUGCGACCCGAAAGAUGGUGAACUAUGCCUGAAUAGGGCGAAGCCAGAGGAAACUCUGGUGGAAGCUCGCAGCGGUUCUGACGUGCAAAUCGAUCGUCAAAUUUGGGUAUAGGGGCGAAAGACUAAUCGAACCAUCUAG
rnacentral:rRNA from 1 species